rnacentral:pre_miRNA from 1 species
GCCAGGAAAAGGAAUCAUGGGAGGGCUUAAGAGUGAUGGGCAUGGGAACAAACAGAAAAGCAUAAGCUCUCCAGUUCCAUGUUUGGAAGUGGAGGUUAAGAUAAUGUUUUGAGUUUUCCUAAUAGUUCCAUGUUUGGAAGUGGAGGUUAAGAUAAUGUUUUAAGUUUUCCUAAUGCCUCCCAUGCCUACUGUUCUUUGGUGCUCCUUACUCUUCCUUUUGGUU